GCCCGCGUAGCUCAGUGGUUAGAGCACUAGUCUUGUAAACUAGGGGUCGAGAGUUCAACUCUCUCCGUGGGCU